rnacentral:rRNA from 1 species
GUGAGACAGGUGCUGCAUGGCUGUCGUCAGCUCGUGUUGUGAAAUGUUGGGUUAAGUCCCGCAACGAGCGCAACCCUUAUCCUUUGUUGCCAGCGGUCCGGCCGGGAACUCAAAGGAGACUGCCAGUGAUAAACUGGAGGAAGGUGGGGAUGACGUCAAGUCAUCAUGGCCCUUACGACCAGGGCUACACACGUGCUACAAUGGCGCAUACAAAGAGAAGCGACCUCGCGAGAGCAAGCGGACCUCAUAAAGUGCGUCGUAGUCCGGAUUGGAGUCUGCAACUCGACUCCAUGAAGUCGGAAUCGCUAGUAAUCGUGGAUCAGAAUGCCACGGUGAAUACGUUCCCGGGCCUCGUACACACCGCCCGUCACACCAUGGGAGUGGGUUGCAAAAGAAGUAGGUAGCUUAACCUUCGGGAGGGCGCUUACCACUUUGUGAUUCAUGACUGGGGUGAAGUCGUAACAAGGUAACCGUAGGGGAACCUGCGGCUGGAUCACCUC